UACGUAGGGUGCAAGCGUUGUCCGGAAUUAUUGGGCGUAAAGAGCUCGUAGGCGGUCUGUCGCGUCGGAUGUGAAAAUCCAGGGCUCAACCCCUGGACCUGCAUUCGAUACGGGCAGACUAGAGUUCGGUAGGGGAGACUGGAAUUCCUGGUGUAGCGGUGAAAUGCGCAGAUAUCAGGAGGAACACCGGUGGCGAAGGCGGGUCUCUGGGCCGAAACUGACGCUGAGGAGCGAAAGCGUGGGGAGCAAACAGG
rnacentral:rRNA from 1 species